rnacentral:rRNA from 1 species
UACAGAGGGUGCAAGCGUUGUUCGGAAUUACUGGGCGUAAAGCGCGCGUAGGCGGGAUGGCAAGUCGGGUGUGAAAGCCCUCGGCUCAACCGAGGAAGUGCACUCGAAACUGCCAUUCUUGAGUGUCGGAGAGGGUGGCGGAAUUCCCGGUGUAGAGGUGAAAUUCGUAGAUAUCGGGAGGAACACCAGUGGCGAAGGCGGCCACCUGGCCGAGCACUGACGCUCAGGCGCGAAAGCGUGGGGAGCAAACAGG